UGAUCCUGGCUCAGAUUGAACGCUGGCGGCAGGCCUAACACAUGCAAGUCGAGCGGCAGCACGGGGAGCUUGCUCCCUGGUGGCGAGCGGCGGACGGGUGAGUAAUGCAUAGGAAUCUGCCCGGUAGUGGGGGAUAACGUGGGGAAACCCACGCUAAUACCGCAUACGUCCUACGGGAGAAAGCGGAGGAUCUUCGGACUUCGCGCUAUCGGAUGAGCCUAUGUCGGAUUAGCUAGUUGGUAAGGUAACGGCUUACCAAGGCGACGAUCCGUAGCUGGUCUGAGAGGAUGAUCAGCCACACUGGGACUGAGACACGGCCCAGACUCCUACGGGAGGCAGCAGUGGGGAAUAUUGGACAAUGGGCGAAAGCCUGAUCCAGCCAUGCCGCGUGUGUGAAGAAGGCUUUCGGGUUGUAAAGCACUUUCAGCGAGGAAGAAAGCCCCUGGGUUAAUACCCCAGAGGAAGGACAUCACUCGCAGAAGAAGCACCGGCUAACUC
rnacentral:rRNA from 1 species